CCCUAUUAUAUUUAAAUUAUUCUUAUCAGGUAGUAUUUAUAUUUAAAUAAACCUAUGUAAUUUGGCGGCAUUUUAUUAUAUUAGAGGAACCUGUCUUUUAAUCGAUACCCCACGAUAAUUCUUACUUUUACUAAAAUCUUAUAUACCUCCAUCUUAAGGGUUAAUAUUUACAUUUCCCCCUAAUAGAUUUCUAAAAAGUUAGGUAAAGGUGUAGAAUAUGUAAAUGAUAAGAUGGGUUACAUUAAAAUUGAUUUAAGGAUAAUUUAUGAAAACUUUUUUGAAAAAGGAUUUAUAAGUAAUUUAAGAAUUAUAAUCUUUUAUGAAUAUAAUAAAAAUGUGCACACA
rnacentral:rRNA from 1 species